rnacentral:tRNA from 2 species
GCCCCCGUAGCUCAAUGGACAGAGCAGGUCCCUUCUAAGGACAAGAUGACAGUUCGAUUCCGUCCGGGGGCACAA